AACGCUAGCUACAGGCUUAACACAUGCAAGUCGAGGGGAAACGACAUCGAAAGCUUGCUUUUGAUGGGCGUCGACCGGCGCACGGGUGAGUAACGCGUAUCCAACCUGCCCAUCACUUGGGGAUAACCUUGCGAAAGUAAGACUAAUACCCAAUGACGUCCAUAGAAGACAUCUGAAAUGGAUUAAAGAUUUAUCGGUGAUGGAUGGGGAUGCGUCUGAUUAGCUUGUUGGCGGGGUAACGGCCCACCAAGGCGACGAUCAGUAGGGGUUCUGAGAGGAAGGUCCCCCACAUUGGAACUGAGACACGGUCCAAACUCCUACGGGAGGCAGCAGUGAGGAAUAUUGGUCAAUGGACGAGAGUCUGAACCAGCCAAGUAGCGUGCAGGAAGACGGCCCUAUGGGUUGUAAACUGCUUUUAUAAGGGAAUAAAGUGAGUCUCGUGAGACUUUUUGCAUGUACCUUAUGAAUAAGGACCGGCUAAUUCCGUGCCAGCAGCCGCGGUAAUACGGAAGGUCCGGGCGUUGUCCGGAUUUAUUGGGUUUAAAGGGAGCGUAGGCCGCAAGUCAAGCGUGUUGUGAAAUGCAGGGGCUCAACCUCUGGAUUGCAGCGCGAACUGGCAUGCUUGAGUACGCACGAGGUAGGCGGAAUUUGUGGUGUAGCGGUGAAAUGCUUAGAUAUCACGAAGAACUCCGAUUG
rnacentral:rRNA from 1 species